rnacentral:rRNA from 1 species
UACAGAGGGUGCGAGCGUUAAUCGGAAUUACUGGGCGUAAAGCGCGCGUAGGCGGCUUUGCAAGUCGGGUGUGAAAUCCCCAGGCUUAACCUGGGAACUGCAUUCGAGACUGCAUUGCUAGAGUAUGGGAGAGGGAAGUGGAAUUUCCGGUGUAGCGGUGAAAUGCGUAGAUAUCGGAAGGAACACCAGUGGCGAAGGCGGCUCACUGGCCCGUUACCGACGCUCAGGCGCGACAGCGUGGGGAGCAAACAGG